rnacentral:rRNA from 1 species
UGAGGAAUAUUGGUCAAUGGGCGGGAGCCUGAACCAGCCAAGCCGCGUGAGGGAGGAAGGCCCUAUGGGUCGUAAACCUCUUUUGUCAGGGAACAAAAGCGAGUAUGUAUACUAGUCUGAGUGUACCUGAAGAAAAAGCAUCGGCUAACUCCGUGCCAGCAGCCGCGGUAAUACGGAGGAUGCGAGCGUUAUCCGGAUUUAUUGGGUUUAAAGGGUGCGUAGACGGCGGUGCAAGUCAGCGGUAAAAGCCCGGGGGCUCAACCCCGGCGAGCCGUUGAAACUGCAGUGCUAGAGAAGGCGAGAGGUACGCGGAAUGCGCAGUGUAGCGGUGAAAUGCUUAGAUAUUGCGCAGAACUCCGAUUGCGAAGGCAGCGUACUGGCGCCUGACUGACGCUGAGGCACGAAAGCGUGGGGAUCGAACAGGAUUAGAUACC